CGCCGGCCAGCCGUUCCCCCUUGCCGCUCUAGCCGAGUUAGUCUAGAUUUCGGAGCCCCCGCCUGAAUGUCGAGAUUGAGGUCGACUCGGAGUCGUCAGGUGAGCAGACAGCUGCGGAGGAUUGAGGUGGUGAUGCCGAGGACAGUGAGUCAGAGUGGACGCCUUCGAGAGGGCGUAGGGGAUAGUUUUGGGAGGAGGAUGCGCCCCAUUUUUGGAUAGUGCUGACCUAGAGAGCUGAUCUUGAUAUUUUGGUGGUUUGGAGUUUAUAGUUCGGUGUGCUUAUAAAUUAUUUUGUGGUUUGUAUUGGCGGAUGAUGUAAAUAUUUGGAAGUGUAAUAUAUGCUUGGUGGUUUGACGAUUUGUUC